CAGCGCCACGAGUGGCAAUCGUGUAUUUGGCCUAAAGCGUCCGUAGCCGGAUUUGUAAAUCUUUUGUGAAAUCGUUGAGCUCAACUUAACGGCGUGCAGAAGACACUGCAGAUCUCGAGACCGGGAGGAGAUAGAGGUAUUCUAGGGGGAGCGGUAAAAUGCUAUAAUCCCUGGAGGACCACCAGUGGCGAAGGCGUCUGUCCAGAACGGAUCUGACGGUGAGGGACGAAAGCCAGGGGAGCGAACCGGAUUAGAUACCCGAGUAGUCC
rnacentral:rRNA from 1 species